AACCACAGCCAAGGGAACUGGCUUGGCGGAAUCAGCGAGGAAAGAAGACCCUGUUGAGCUUGACUCUAGUCUGG
rnacentral:miRNA from 1 species